UUAUUUUAAAUAAAAUAAUAAAAUCUAUUUCAUUAUGUUAGAAAUAGCAAUAAAGUAUUCAAGAUUGUCGUGUAAUUGACAGAACGUGUUUUUACCUGCAGCAAGCAAUAAAGAGCGACUCCAUUGAUUCCACAAACGCUGACUCCAGAGAUACCUUACACAUCCCGAGCAAACCCUGCUCCAGUGAUAAUCUUCAUCUUAAAGUACCCAGCAUUCCCCUCACCGGUGGAUCUGCCCCAUGUUCACCCCAGGCCUCACCUCCCCCUCCCCUCCGCAACAGGACAGCGAGCGUACGAACAAACAGACACAUGUACAGCCAGCGCAGCAUCCCCUGCCGACAAGCCGCGUAUGAGAUACAAUCUAGAAAACCUCUAGAAAUAAUACACACACAUGCACAAACCAAACAGGAUUCGCAUGAGGUGGUCCAACUCAACAUGAACGUUCCCCAAAGAAGAGCCUCUCAGCGUGUGGCACGCAACCAUAACUUGUCCCCUUAUGAACCGCCCUUCUGUUCUGAAGCCCAGUCUCAAGACCCAUUACACGGUGGGGCAUCCCGCCAGCCGGGCACCAGCACUCAAUGUCUACGGAAGUACAACAGUAUGGAAAAUAAUGGCUUCCUGUCUCAACUCCACGUCCCUCGGCGUCACUCGACGCAUGGAGAAGAGUUACUGCUUCAGCAGCAGCCACCUGGACCUUCUCAAAUGCCCAAGAAGGAGAAAAUGAGCCCGCCCUGUAUCUCCAUCGACCCUCCCACCGAUGCAGAGUUUCCAUCUCCAGCGGUCAGUCAGGAGCACAGCACAGUUCUAAGACGGCGGACACCGUCCUUCGACUCCGCAUUACCACGGGAGUCCAUAGAUCUUCCUGACCUGCAGGAUGAACCUCUUUUGCCAAGUCGUUUGCCCCUCCCACAAUUCUCUUUUGACCAAUCGGAUGUAAGUUCGCUGAGCAGCCUGUCGGAACUGCUUUCGGAUAGUGACCAGUCAACGCACUCCUUCCCUUCCGAGGCGCGUUCGGGGGUGGUGGGAGAUGCAGCUCAGAGUCCACUCAGGAAGAA
ensembl:lncRNA